UAUUCUUGUCCACUUACCCAUUUGGAGAAUUGAAGAAAGGGUUUUGUUUUAAAAAAAUGUUUUUGUUUCUAUAUCUUUGGGAGUUGUUAAUCCUGUUUCUCUCCACUGCAGGUUUUGAUGGAAUCUGAUGGCAUACUGAAUAGUGAAGGCAGCUGAGGAGCAGCCACAGUUGUGUCACCUUCUCCACUCUGCCAUUUGGAAAAACAGAGGCUGUUAAGAAGCAGCAGUAAUGUGAAAGGAUGGUGAAUUUUAACCAGAUGCACAGAGCAAUAUUCAGUAGAUAUGCCUGAUUUUAUUUCAUUUGAGGCUGAGACCGCUGCAUAACCUCUCUUCUGAGGUUCUGGACACUUGGUAUGGGUGCCUGUCUGACUCCAAACUCUGUGACUCAGAUCACCUUGAAAUGAGACGAUUUUAUUUAUUUGUCCUCCCCUGGGUCAGCUUCUGGGGUCAGUUUGAUUUGUCUUUCCCUUUGAGAUGCUUUGGCCGCUUUUGCAUGCUAUUUAUUGUUCCUGGUACCAUAUAUAUGCAUAAAAGUAUUUUAUUAUGAGUGUAUCUGCUCUCAUACUAUUGAUAAAAUGUUUUUAAUGGUAGUAAUUUUGUAGUAAACUGUAUAGUUAUAGGUGUGAUGGCUGAUGCUAUUAUUGAGUGCUGCUGUUAUUUAUUUUUGCUGUGCUAUUGAGUACCUAUAAUAAUUUGUAAUAACUUGACAUAUAUAUAUAUAUUCACUUUAUUUAUCAUAGGUAUAUUGACUAAUGGUGGUUCCCUUAGUAUUUGUGGUAAUUUCUAAUGAUGUAGAGAAACACAGGAGCUAAAGCCUUGGUCUCAUAUAACCCAAAGGACCCUGGUCAUGAUCACUGUCGCACAGCAGGCUGAGUGACCCAUUAGGUCAUGAGAGCAGGCAGCCUGCUUCAUGUGGUCCCUGUGCUACGAAGAACGCAGUUUAUCAGGUUGAUUUAACACAGUUAUUAGCUAAUUAAAAGUACCUAUUCACCUAUGAUACCUACCUACGAUAUCGCUUAUCCAUUGUUUUUUAGUCUUCAAUAUCUGACUCUCAACUUUUCUGUACUAAGCAUAAGGCUUUUUUUUCCCCUAAAAAAUCAAGAUCCUAGAGUUGAUAAGAAUUUAUAAACUUGUAUGGCUCA